AACAAAAAUACCCCUUAUCUUUUUCAAUAUUUACACCAUCCAAAUCAUAAAACAAACCUAAAAUUCUACUAUCUUCUUUCCAUCUUCUCUGCCGCAGCCUUUUUUUCUCUCAGGUCUCUCGCAACCUUCCUCCUCUUGCUCUCCUGUAGCCCCUCUUUUCUCUUCCCCCCGUAGUGGAACUCAAAGCCUCUGGGUUUUCCUUGCAUUUUGAUCGUCAAAUCGCACAAGUGUACCAGUCGUGUUAGAUUGUUGGGGAAUUCAGCCAAAAGGCUUUCCAGAUACAGAUGCUUUCUUACCUUGGAGGUUCAUGCAUAUUUCUCAACUUUUUCAUAGUCAAAUUUCACGCAACUGGAUUGAUCAUGAGGAAGAUGUACUACUUACCAUCCUGGAGGAGAUGGUUGCUGAUGGUGUUAGGUGUGAGACCGGCAGUUUUAAGAUUGGUACUUUUGUAAUGGUUGCCUCCAAGAUGAGAGAAAAGAUUUCUAGCAUUAAUAUAGAGCCGAAGCAUAUACAAAACAAACUGAAGCAUCUAAAAGAAAAGUAUUCAUCUGCAUAUGACAUGAUGAAUACCUCUGGAUUUGGUUGGGAUGAUAAGAAAAAAAUGUGUUGUUGUGGAUAGUGACGAAGUACUAUAGCUGUGGGUUGUUUCUUAUUCUUUCUCAAUUAGUUGCUUUGAAAGUCUUAACCUUGA